AUUUGAUAGAGUAAUAACAAGAACUCAAAGUACAAAACAAAAAAUAAUUCAUUUAAUCAAAUACAUUUCUCACAUUUAUCAUAAAUACAAAAAUUAACAUAUUCAAAAAAAAUAUUUUAGUGUCACAAAAUCCCCUAUUAAUUUACAAGGUAAUGGUAUAUUAAUCUGUUGUAUUUUUUUGAGUUCAACUAUUAGUUCAACAACUUUCU
rnacentral:lncRNA from 1 species